rnacentral:rRNA from 1 species
GACGAACGCUGGCGGCGUGCUUAACACAUGCAAGUCGAACGGAAAGGCCCUGCUUUUGUGGGGUGCUCGAGUGGCGAACGGGUGAGUAACACGUGAGUAACCUGCCCUUGACUUUGGGAUAACUUCAGGAAACUGGGGCUAAUACCGGAUAGGAGCUCCUGCUGCAUGGUGGGGGUUGGAAAGUUUCGGCGGUUGGGGAUGGACUCGCGGGUUAUCAGCUUGUUGGUGGGGUAGUGGCUUACCAAGGCUUUGACGGGUAGCCGGCCUGAGAGGGUGACCGGCCACAUUGGGACUGCGAUACGGACCAGACUCCUACGGGAGGCAGCAGUGGGGAAUAUUGCACAAUGGGCGGAAGCCUGAUGCAGCAACGCCGCGUGCGGGAUGACGGCCUUCGGGUUGUAAACCGCUUUCGCCUGUGACGAAGCGUGAGUGACGGUAAUGGGUAAAGAAGCACCGGCUAACUACGUG